AUGAAUGAGCCUCAGAGUCUUGUGAGCAUCUCUGUCAUCUUCAUCUGGACUCUCACAGCGUUUGCUCAAGAGUGUAGAGGACAGAUCACCGUCACUCAGAGUCCCUCAAUAACAGCAGAACAACCAGGAGGAACUGUGAAUAUCAAAUGUAAAACCAGCAGAGAUGUGUACAGUGUUGGUUCUGUUUAUAUCUUAUCCUGGUACUUACAGAAACCUGGAGAAGCUCCUAAACUCCUGAUUUAUUACGCAAACCGCCUCCAGUCGGGAACUGCAUCUAGAUUCAGUGGCAGUGAAUCUAACAGUGAUUUCACUCUGAGCAUCAGUGGAGUCCAGACUGAAGAUGCUGGACAUUAUUACUGUCAGAGUUAUCAUUGCAGAACAGAUUCUGAUAAUUAUUGUGUGGGUGAUCGAGUGUUCACACAGUGAUAAAGAGUCGUACAAAAACCUCCGUCAGUCAGAGUCACAGU